rnacentral:rRNA from 1 species
UCGAACGGAGAGAGCAAUCUCUGAGUGGCGCACGGGUGGGUAACACGUAGCUUACCUACCCUAAAGAGCGGGAUAACGUUCCGAAAGGAAUGCUAAUACCGCAUAAGCUCACGAUCUGUAGAGGGUAGUGAGAAAAGGAGCAAUCCGCUUUAGGAUGGGGCUGCGGCCCAUCAGCUAGUUGGUGCGGUAACGGCGCACCAAGGCAACGACGGGUAGGGGGCCUGAGAGGGUGACCCCCCACACUGGGACUGAGACACGGCCCAGACUCCUACGGGAGGCAGCAGUGAGGAAUAUUGCACAAUGGGCGAAAGCCUGAUGCAGCGACGCCGCGUGGGUGAAGAAGGUCUUCGGAUCGUAAAGCCCUUUUCUGCGUGACGAGGAAGGACGGUAGCGCAGGAAUAAGUCUCGGCUAACUACGUGCCAGCAGCCGCGGUAAAACGUAGGAGACAAACGUUAUCCGGAGUUACUGGGCGUAAAGGGCGUGCAGGCGGUUUCUUAAGUUCGUCGUGAAAUCGCCUGGCUUAACCGGGCGGGGUCGAUGGAUACUGGGGAACUAGAGGGCGGUAGAGGCGUGUGGAAUUCCGGGUGUAGUGGUGAAAUGCGUAGAUAUCCGGAGGAACACCAGUGGCGAAGGCGACACGCUGGGCCGUACCUGACGCUAAGACGCGACAGCAUGGGGAGCGAACGGGAUUAGAAACCCCGGUAGUCCAUGCCGUAAACGAUGCCAACUGGGUGUUCGUCUCCCGCAAGGGAGGGGGGUACCGAAGCAAACGCGAUAAGUUGGCCGCCUGGGGAGUACGGUCGCAAGGCUAAAACUCAAAGGAAUUGACGG